rnacentral:rRNA from 1 species
GAUGAACGCUGGCGGCGCGCCUAAUACAUGCAAGUCGAGCGAAUGGAUUAAGAGCUUGCUCUUAUGAAGUUAGCGGCGGACGGGUGAGUAACACGUGGGUAACCUGCCCAUAAGACUGGGAUAACUCCGGGAAACCGGGGCUAAUACCGGAUAACAUUUUGAACCGCAUGGUUCGAAAUUGAAAGGCGGCUUCGGCUGUCACUUAUGGAUGGACCCGCGUCGCAUUAGCUAGUUGGUGAGGUAACGGCUCACCAAGGCAACGAUGCGUAGCCGAUCUGAGAGGGUGAUCGGCCACACUGGGACUGAGACACGGCCCAGACUCCUACGGGAGGCAGCAGUAGGGAAUCGUCCGCAAUGGACGAAAGUCUGACGGAGCAACGCCGCGUGAGUGAUGAAGGCUUUCGGGUCGUAAAACUCUGUUGUUAGGGAAGAACAAGUGCUAGUUGAAUAAGCUGGCACCUUGACGGUACCUAACCAGAAAGCCACGGCUAACUACGUGCCAGCCGCCGCCGUAA